GAGCAAUGGAAUGAUGACACAUAAAGGAAAACACUGCCAUGCCAAGAAGCUGAAACGAAAUCAAUACAGCAAUGUUAGAUAAUAAAUAAAUGAAUAUGGCCUAACAGGAGGUCAGUGCAGAGGCAAAAAAGUUUCUGGUACGUCACAGAGAAUAAUAUUAUCAAGAGGAACUCUGUUACCAUUGGCGAUGUCAACCGCACUCAAGAUCACCAUUAAAACUAUAGCAGUGUUUCGCAUUAUCAUGGUGAACAUUUGUAAAUAUGUUGUCUUUUGAAAAUUAAAAAAGCAAAAUGGUCCAAUAA